rnacentral:tRNA from 1 species
GGCCUGCUAGCUUAGUCGGUUAGAGCGUCGUGCUAAUAACGCGAAGGUCACAGGUUCGGUCCCUGUGCAGGCCA